rnacentral:rRNA from 1 species
CUCAAGAAUAAGCUACUUAAAAAGGAUAUCUUGGGCAAGGUGAGGGCUUAUGUGUAUGUGGUGGAGUUCCAAAAGAGGGGCCUGCCUCAUGCGCACUUCCUGCUCAUCAUGGAGGGCCGAUACAAGCUCACAUGCCCUGAGCAGUAUGAUCGCCUUAUCUCAGCCGAACUCCCCAACAAGAAGAAGUACCCAGAACUGUACAAGUUGGUUGUGAAACAUAUGAUGCAUGGACCUUGUGGUGCUUUGAAUCCUGAAUGCCCUUGCACAAAGGGUCGUCCUUCUUGCAAGAAUCACUAUCCGCGGCCUUUCAACGCGGCUACCUUACAAGGCAAGGACUCCUACCCGCUAUAUAGACGACGUGAAGACGGAUGUAAAGCAAUGGUUCGAAAGGAAUGGCUAGAUAAUAGGUGGGUCGUCCCAUACAACCCACACCUCUUGCGCUACUUCAACUGUCACAUCAAUGUUGAGGCAUGCGGCAGCAUAAAAGCCGUUAAAUACCUGUUCAAAUACAUAUACGAGGGCCAUGAUCGAGCAUCUAUUGCUGUAAGUGAGGCUGACAAAAAUGGAGACAUAGAU